GCAAAUGAUCAGCGCACAGCAAAUAAAAAUCGGGCAUGAAACUGUUGUAGAAGAAAUGUCAAGUCAAUCGAUAGCUUGUCCCUGUCAACUUGCAAAGAGAUGCUGCUUGGGAAGCUAGUUGAAACGUUUGCGCCAUCUCCGGAAGAUCGGCCCGCAUCACAUAUAUUACACCGACACCCUACAAAGACAUAGAUGUGCAUAGAUCGCGUAUCAGGACUGCCUGAGUCAACUCCGCCAGAACAUAUAGCCGCCUAAGUAAGGAGACGUUUCACUUUGGAACUGUUCCAUGCAGGAAAACGAGGAGAACCACCAAAACCAACUGAACUCGCCGCCUAAAAGGCAAAGGAGCAUGGGAAAAAAGAGCCAAUGUUGUGAGCAUAUGGAGGGCAAAACCAUAUAGGUUUUCUGCGCACGCACUUAUUUAGCGGAGUGAAAGGUGCUGGACCGAAUGUUGUCGAGCGGAAUUUCAUAGCAGUUCAGCGUUAACUGCAAGCUGUGCUUCACCCCAAGACCCAGCAAUACUAUCAGGAGCAUGGAAAAAGAAGUGAACGAACCGGUUGUGCGCCAAGAUGCAAAGACCGCUGUCACCGCAUGCCCGACAAGGAGGUUCAAAGACAAGGAAAAGCCUGAAUCUGCGUCAAGCGACAGAGAGCACGAUGCUAAAGGAACGGGCAACCAAACCCGUACUCCAAAGUGACGGCGCAUGCCACUACGUACUGUGAUAAAAACGCAUUGCUCAAUAAAUCCCACGACGGCCCAGCUUGGGCGAUUUUCACUGGAGUAAUUCACACAA